rnacentral:rRNA from 1 species
ACUCAAAUGAAUUGACGGGGGCCUGCACAAGCGGUGGAGUAUGUGGCUCAAUUCGAUGCAACGCGAAGAACCUUACCUGGCCUUGACAUGUACGUAGUAGAAGGGUGAAAGCCUGACGAGGUAGCAAUACCAGCGUACACAGGUGCUGCAUGGCUGUCGUCAGCUCGUGUCGUGAGAUGUUGGGUUAAGUCCCGCAACGAGCGCAACCCUUGUGUCCUGUUGCCACUCCCGAGUAAUCGGGAAGCACUCUGGACAGACUGCCUCGCUUAAACGAGGAGGAAGGUGGGGAUGACGUCAAGUCAGUAUGGCCCUUACGGCCAGGGCUGCACACGUACUACAAUGCCCGGCACAAAGGGAAGCAAGACCGCAAGGUGGAGCAAAUCCCCAAAAACCGGGCCCAGUUCAGAUUGUCGUCUGCAACUCGACGACAUGAAGUUGGAAUCGCUAGUAAUGGCGCAUCAGCUACGGCGCCGUGAAUACGUUCCCAGGCCUUGUACACACCGCCCGU